UACAGAGGGGGCAAGCGUUAUUCGGAAUUAUUGGGCGUAAAGAGCUCGUAGGCGGUUUGGUGAGUCGGGUGUGAAAUCUCCACGCUCAACGUGGAGGGGCCACCCGAUACUGCCAUGACUAGAGUCCGGUAGGGGAGUGUGGAAUUCCUGGUGUAGCGGUGAAAUGCGUUGAUAUCAGGAGGAACACCGAUGGCGAAGGCAGCAAACUGGUCGUCAACUGACGCUGAGGCGCGAAAGCGUGGGUAGCAAACAGG
rnacentral:rRNA from 1 species